GUCGAUUCCAGCAGUUUCCUCCAAUCACGGGGUCUCCCCCUGAGCCCCCAGGACAGGGUCCGGUGGCAGAGUCGCGUCCCUAGAGGGGUCCCCACUGAGCAACACUCUUCCCAACCAUGACCUUGGGUGCCGGGUGCAGACAGCGGGCACCGCCCAGCCCUUGGCACACACGGCAUGUCUGCCUGGGACCCCGUGUCGGUCGGGCUCCAGGGGUGCACACGCACAUGCACACAGGACGUCCGGCGUCACCAUCCUGGGGCCCGCGGCCUUCCUUGGGGGGCCCUCCAGCGCCCCCCGCCCUUCUGUGGCACCCGAGGCCCGUCUUGCCAGCCUGCCAGGAGAACACACACCAGGUUGGUUUGGGGGGCAGAGUCCUAACUGUGUGUGUCUCUGUUUCGGACAUUCCCGAGGUGCCGGGUCUGCCCCAGCCUGAAGGGGGGUCCCAGAUGGGGGCUGGAGGACUCUCCUUGCUUCCCUACGCAGUCCGCAGCCCAGCCCCUGCCCCUGCCGCCCCACAUCACACGCCAGCAGGUAUGGCUCGCCCUCCUCCCUGCACGUGCCGCUUGGCGCUGCUUCCCGUCUCCGCGGCAGGGCUUCACCUCCACAUCCAUGAGGAGCGAGGCUGGUGGGGCAAGAGGUGCCCCUGCCUCUUGGACACCAACAGGGUCAUCAGCCAAGGUGUCCGUGCAUGUGUGCACACAGAAAGCUCAGCAGGUAAAGGGAUGCCAGGCAGGGGAGGGACCACAUGCACAUGUGCCAGCCAGUGGAAAGCGGGGCAGGACAGUGCGGGGGGACAGUACGGGGGGACAGUGGGGUGGGACAGUGCAGGGGGACAGCGGGGCGGGACAAUAUGGGGGGACAGUGAAGCCGGACAGUGCGGGGGGGACAGUGCAGGGAGGCAGCGGAGUGGGACAGUGGGCAGACAGUGGGGGGGACAGCGGGGUGGAACAGUGUUGGGGGGACAGUAUGGCAGGAAGUCCGGGCAGGAGAGUGCAGAGGCAGAGCCGCGCAGGGGUGGGACAGCCGGGCAGCAGUGGCGGCCCCCUCGGAGGCCUCUGGGCAGUGUCUGCGUCACCACGGGGGCUCCCGGGUGGACAGCCGAGGUCACCGCCUGGGGAUCCUUCAAGCAGAGAUUUUCGCGCUUACUUUGUGUGUUUGGGUUUAAUGAACUUGAGUGCAGACCCUCCCCACGGUGUCUAGUUCUCGUCCCUCACCGCGCAGUCUUUUCAAAGGGAUAA
rnacentral:lncRNA from 12 species